rnacentral:rRNA from 1 species
CCUACGGGUGGCAGCAGUGGGGAAUAUUGGACAAUGGGCGAAAGCCUGAUCCAGCCAUGCCGCGUGUGUGAAGAAGGCCUUCGGGUUGUAAAGCACUUUCAGUGGGGAAGAAAGCCUUGGGGCUAAUACCCUCGAGGAAGGACAUCACCCACAGAAGAAGCACCGGCUAACUCCGUGCCAGCAGCCGCGGUAAUACGGAGGGUGCGAGCGUUAAUCGGAAUUACUGGGCGUAAAGCGCGCGUAGGCGGUCUGAUAAGCCGGUUGUGAAAGCCCCGGGCUCAACCUGGGAACGGCAUCCGGAACUGUCAGGCUAGAGUGCAGGAGAGGAAGGUAGAAUUCCCGGUGUAGCGGUGAAAUGCGUAGAGAUUGGGAGGAAUACCAGUGGCGAAGGCGGCCUUCUGGACUGACACUGACGCUGAGGUGCGAAAGCGUGGGUAGCAAACAGGAUUAGAUACCCGAGUAGUC